rnacentral:rRNA from 1 species
GUUGUCCGGAUUUAUUGGGCGUAAAGAGCUCGUAGGCGGCUUGUUGCGUCGGCUGUGAAAACCCGCGGCUUAACCGCGGGCUUGCAGUUGAUACGGGCAGGCUAGAGUUCGGUAGGGGAGACUGGAAUUCCUGGUGUAGCGGUGAAAUGCGCAGAUAUCAGGAGGAACACCGGUGGCGAAGGCGGGUCUCUGGGACGAUACUGACGCUGAGGAGCGAAAGCGUGGGGAGCAAACAGG